UACGUAGGGCGCGAGCGUUGUCCGGAAUUAUUGGGCGUAAAGAGCUCGUAGGCGGCCUGUCGCGUCGGUUGUGAAAGCCCCGGGGGCUCAACCCCGGGUCUGCAGUCGAUACGGGCAGGCUAGAGUUCGGUAGGGGAGAUCGGAAUUCCUGGUGUAGCGGUGAAAUGCGCAGAUAUCAGGAGGAACACCGGUGGCGAAGGCGGAUCUCUGGGCCGAUACUGACGCUGAGGAGCGAAAGCGUGGGGAGCGAACAGG
rnacentral:rRNA from 1 species